rnacentral:rRNA from 1 species
UCAUGAAAGCCGGCUGUACCCGAAGUCCGUGAGCAAACCGCAAGGAUGCAGCGGCCGAAGGUAUGGCUGGUGACUGGGAUG